UACAGAGGGUGCAAGCGUUAAUCGGAAUUACUGGGCGUAAAGCGCGCGUAGGUGGUUUGUUAAGUUGGAUGUGAAAUCCCCGGGCUCAACCUGGGAAUUGCAUUCAAAACUGACAAGCUAGAGUAUGGUAGAGGGUGGUGGAAUUUCCUGUGUAGCGGUGAAAUGCGUAGAUAUAGGAAGGAACACCAGUGGCGAAGGCGACCACCUGGACUGAUACUGACACUGAGGUGCGAAAGCGUGGGGAGCAAACAGG
rnacentral:rRNA from 1 species